rnacentral:rRNA from 1 species
AUGGCGAAGGUGCAGGUAAGGGCGAGGUUCGUGACGGAGGUGGCGCCGCCGCAGCUCGUGUCGGUCGUGCGGCGGAGGAAGGUGCCGAGGAGCCUCGACACGAUCGUCGAGGACGACAGGGAGCUGCAGCAGCUGGCCUACGGCGACCACCAUCAUCAUCAUCAGGCUACUGCCUCCGCGGCGUCGAUGAAGAGGGCGUUGCCGGCCGGCGCGCGCACUGGCGGUGCCGGGUUCAUGAGGGAGCUCAGCAGCUGCUUCUCCGGCAACGGCGACCACGGCCAGGCGGCCGGUGGCUGCUGGGAGAGCACGCGCAGUAAAGGGCACGGCCGACGAGCCGUGUUUGCUCACCGGACGCAUGCAAAUUAA